rnacentral:miRNA from 1 species
UUUGUUGAACUUGAGUUUGUGUGUUUUUUGAACUUGAGUUUGGUGUUUCUGAACUUGAGUUUCUGGCUCAAAAACGCCACAAACUCAAGUUCAAACACGACACAAACUCAAGUUCAACAAA